rnacentral:rRNA from 1 species
UACGGAGGGUGCAAGCGUUAUCCGGAUUCACUGGGUUUAAAGGGUGCGUAGGUGGGCAGGUAAGUCAGUGGUGAAAUCUCCGAGCUUAACUCGGAAACUGCCGUUGAUACUAUUUGUCUUGAAUAUUGUGGAGGUAAGCGGAAUAUGUCAUGUAGCGGUGAAUGCUUAGAUAUGAACAUAGAACACCAAUUGCGAAGGCAGCUUACUACACAACGAUUACGCUGAGGCACGAAAGCGUGGGGAUCAAACAGG